UCAAAUAUUACUCAAUCAUUUUAACUACUGCGGAAAUAAAUGCUACUAUAGACUAUUGUAGUGCGUGCGCAAGAUCUUCGCUGAACUAGCUACGUUCACUGCACUGGUGCUGUUCCCAUCUUUACUAGCGACCCAAUAGGAAAGGAGUUCCUGUGGUGCCUGAUCUCUCGUAAGUCGGAGUCGAUGUAGUACGGGUACGGGUGGAAGUGGCAGCAAUUUCCCAUCUCAAUUCUUUCUCUGUUCUUUUUUGUAUAGUAAUUUACUGAUUCACAUGACAGUAAUAGCAUGCAAUCAAUGGUAGUAAAGUGUGUCAAAUGAAUAGAGAUAAAAUCUUUAUGGUCACUAAUUAUUAAUCUUCCAGCAGACCUGUUCAUGCAGAUCGACCUGUUAUGGACUCGUCAAAGAGGCAACGACCUGAGAAAGGAUACUAUUCCUACCUCCAUAAUAUAAGCUCGGCUGACAUGGACUUAUCUAGCAUGCGGGAAGCACGAGAUGUGAGAACCACUCUGAGCUGUAAGUCUGAUGACAGUCUGCCAGAAGGGGUCUUCCUUGUUGAGAGGAUAAUUCAUCAUCGACUAACUAAGGGGAAAACGGAGUAUUUGGUAAAGUGGGCUGGUUACUCAUUGGAACAGUCUUCAUGGGUCGCUAAGGAAGAUGUGACUAUCUCUACUAUCCAAUCAUACAAUACACCACAAGCACCACAUACCGAGCUUAUAAGCGACGCAACAAGAAGAUUUGUUCUGUCCAUUCAAUGUAGUUUAAAUUUAGGUACUGUAAAAUCCUGUAAUUUAACUAUAGAUUUCCGGCUAGAUGUAUUUCGUUACCUAUUUAAAGAUCGAGGAACCCAAAUGACCCGCGGAAAGCUCCAACUUCAACAAACUGAUUUUAACGAUGAAUAUUUUAUAGGUAGUUGGUAUAUUUUGUAUGAUAGAUAUGGCAAUGGCUGCACAGUAGAUUUUCCUAUUGUAGUAUGUCCUAGAAUUAAGUAUGGACCGAAAACAUAUAGAAAUAGCAAUGGUGAAAUGUUAGAGUCACCUAGACUACUAUCUGAAAUUGUAUGUGUAAAUCUGGUGAAAAAACGUUGUUGAUCAUUG